rnacentral:rRNA from 1 species
ACGGAAGGCAGCAGUGGGGAAUAUUGCACAAUGGGGGAAACCCUGAUGCAGCGACGCCGCGUGAGUGAAGAAGUAUUUCGGUAUGUAAAGCUCUAUCAGCAGGGAAGAAAAUGACGGUACCUGACUAAGAAGCCCCGGCUAACUACGUGCCAGCAGCCGCGGUAAUACGUAGGGGGCAAGCGUUAUCCGGAUUUACUGGGUGUAAAGGGAGCGUAGGCGGUUUUACAAGUCUGAUGUGAAAGCCCGGGGCUCAACUCCGGUACUGCAUUGGAAACUGUAGAACUAGAGUGUCGGAGGGGUAAGUGGAAUUCCUAGUGUAGCGGUGAAAUGCGUAGAUAUUAGGAGGAACACCAGUGGCGAAGGCGGCUUACUGGACGAUUACUGACGCUGAGGCUCGAAAGCGUGGGGAGCAAACAGGAUUAGAUACCCUGGUA